UCAGUAACGGCGAGUGAAUACAGGUAGACCAUCAUCGAAUCGUGUCAUGGUGUGUGACGCGAGGUGUGAUGUUGCGGCUUUGCUAUGAAGGAUGAUUGGCGUGGUGUAAUUCCGGUUGAAAUUGUGUGAUCCGAAGAGGGUGCUAGGCCCUUGAGACUGCUAUUUUAAACCGAUGGCAUUGACCGCUGAGUAGAAUUGCUUGAGAUCGCAGUUCGAAUACGUGUGAUGAAUCCCACACAAGUCUAGAUGUAUAUUUGCGAGACCGAUAGCGAACAAGUAUCGUGAGGAAAAGUUGAAAAGUACUCUGGAAAGAGAGUUCACAAGUGCGUGAAACUGGACACUGCAAAGCGAAUAUCUGUGCAUUUUACGAUACGGUUAGCUGUCUUCGACGCGUGGCGCCACCAGCUGGGGAUCAGGGCUUUUGUUCCUGGUGCCAUGUUCUGCUCGCGAUUUGCCCGCGCGGAGUUGUACUUGCCACCGUAUUUCUGGCUGUUCGGCAGGUGAGCAAGCUAAAGAGCGUCAAGAGGGGAGGAAUGUUUCGCGCCGCCCUCUGCGUUAAUGGCGCUCCGACUGAUUGUGCGUGGUGUUAAAUUCACAUGGCCGUUUUAUCAUGCUUGCCUGCUGCGGACGACGUCGCAGUGCGCCGGGGCGCGGUUUGUGUGUUCACAAGCACUGCUGUCAAUCUGGCUACAUGUGCCAGUGUGGUCUGCACUGCCGCCGUUUCUUCCCGGCUUGCGACUGAGGCAGCUGACGUGUGCUCAGUAUUCGAACCGUCUUGAAACACGGACUAAGGAGUUCAACUUGAACGCAAGUCGUUUUCAAAUGAUAAUUUUGAAGGCGAAGUGAAAUCGAUCCGAUGAAGGAGUGUCAACUGGUCGGGACGACUGUUGUAAGAACGACCAAAGACAAGCGUUGUGGGUAGCACAGAUGACACAGCUGCUGACCGCAUGCGAGCGUUCAUGAUGAGACCCGAAAGAUGGUGAACUAUGCCUGAGUAGAACGAAGCCAGGAGAAAUCCUGGUGGAAGUUCGUAGCGGUUUUGACGUGCAAAUCAAUCGUAAGACUUGGGUAUAGGGGCGAAAGACUAAUCGAACCGUCUAGUUGCUGGUUCCCUCCGAAGUUUCCUUCAGGAAAGCUGGCGUGAUUUAGUUUUACCCGGUAAAGCUAAUGACUGGAGGGAUCGGAGUUGUAAUAUCUUUGACCUACUUUCAAACUUAAAACGGAUAAGAUAUUGAUCGCUGCUUUAGCGAGCGACAAGUGCAAAUGACACGCGCCAAGUGGGCCAGUUUUGGUAAGCAGAUCGGGCGCUGUGGGAUGAACUGAACGGCGAGCUAUGGCGCCCGAUACACUUCUCAGAAGACACCAUGAAAGGUGUUAGUUGAUAAUGACAGCAGGACGGUGGCCAUGGAAGUCGGUAUCCGCUAAGG
rnacentral:rRNA from 1 species